rnacentral:rRNA from 1 species
AUUGAACGCUGGCGGCAUGCCUUACACAUGCAAGUCGAACGGUAACAGGUUAAGCUGACGAGUGGCGAACGGGUGAGUAAUAUAUCGGAACGUGCCCAAUCGUGGGGGAUAACGCAGCGAAAGCUGUGCUAAUACCGCAUAAGAUCUACGGAUGAAAGCGGGGGAUCGCAAGACCUCGCGCGAGUGGAGCGGCCGAUAUCAGAUUAGCUAGUUGGUGGGGUAAAGGCCCACCAAGGCGACGAUCUGUAGCUGGUCUGAGAGGACGACCAGCCACACUGGGACUGAGACACGGCCCAGACUCCUACGGGAGGCAGCAGUGGGGAAUUUUGGACAAUGGGCGCAAGCCUGAUCCAGCAAUGCCGCGUGCAGGAUGAAGGCCUUCGGGUUGUAAACUGCUUUUGUACGGAGCGAAAAAGCUCUCUCUAAUACAGAGGGCUCAUGACGGUACCGUAAGAAUAAGCACCGGCUAACUACGUGCCAGCAGCCGCAGUAA